rnacentral:rRNA from 1 species
UACGGAGGGUGCAAGCGUUAUCCGGAUUUACUGGGUUUAAAGGGUGCGUAGGUGGACAGGAAAGUCAGUGGUGAAAUCUUCGAGCUUAACUCGGAAACUGCCAUUGAUACUAUUUGUCUUGAAUACUUUGGAGGUAAGCGGAAUAUGUCAUUUAGCGUUGAAAUGCUUAGAUAUGACAUAGAACACCAAUUUCGAAGGCAGCUUACUACACAGUUAUUUACACUGAGGCACGAAAGCGUGGUGAUCAAACAGG